ACGGGAGGCAGCAGUGGGGAAUCUUGGACAAUGGGCGCAAGCCUGAUCCAGCCAUGCCGCGUGAGUGAUGAAGGCCUUAGGGUCGUAAAGCUCUUUCGCCAGAGAUGAUAAUGACAGUAUCUGGUAAAGAAACCCCGGCUAACUCCGUGCCAGCAGCCGCGGUAAUACGGAGGGGGUUAGCGUUGUUCGGAAUUACUGGGCGUAAAGCGCGCGUAGGCGGACUAGUCAGUCAGGGGUGAAAUCCCGGGGCUCAACCCCGGAACUGCCUUUGAUACUGCUAGUCUAGAGUUCGAGAGAGGUGAGUGGAAUUCCGAGUGUAGAGGUGAAAUUCGUAGAUAUUCGGAGGAACACCAGUGGCGAAGGCGGCUCACUGGCUCGAUACUGACGCUGAGGUGCGAAAGUGUGGGGAGCAAACAGGAUUAGAUACCCUGGUAGUCCACACCGUAAACGAUGAAUGCCAGUCGUCGGGUAGCANNNNNUUCGGUGACACACCUAACGGAUUAAGCAUUCCGCCNNNNNNNNACGGUCGCAAGAUUAAAACUCANANNNAAUU
rnacentral:rRNA from 1 species